rnacentral:tRNA from 1 species
GCCCGCCUAGCUCAAUCGGAUAGAGCGUCAGACUUUUACGGUCUAGGUGGGUUUACCUAGUAUGGUAUCUGAAGGCUGCGGGUUCGACCCCCGCGGUGGGCU